rnacentral:rRNA from 1 species
CAAUAGCGUAUAUUAAAGUUGUUGCAGUUAAAAAGCUCGUAGUUGGAUUUCGGGGCAGCCUGGCUGGUCCGCCGCAAGGCGAGUACUGGUCAGCCGUCCUUCCUCUCGAAAGCCCCGACUGCUCUUCGUUGCAGUGGUCGGGUAGUUCGGGACGUUUACUUUGAAAAAAUUAGAGUGUUCAAGGCAGGCCUACGCCUGAAUACAUUAGCAUGGAAUAAUGGAAGAGGACCUCGGUCCUAUUUUGUUGGUUUCCAGGGCCGAAGUAAUGAUUAAGAGGGACAGUUGGGGGCAUUCGUAUUUAAUUGUCAGAGGUGAAAUUCUCGGAUUUAUGAAAGACGAACAACUGCGAAAGCAUUUGCCAAGGAUGUUUUCAUUAA